rnacentral:rRNA from 1 species
UACGUAGGAGACGAGCGUUGUCCGGAGUUACUGGGCGUAAAGGGUGCGCAGGUGGCGGCGCGCGUGGGGGGUGAAAUCGCCCGGCUUAACUGGGCGGGGGCCUUCCAGACGGCGUGGCUUGAGCAGCGGAGGGGGACGUGGAAUUCCGGGUGGAGCGGUGAAAUGCGUAGAGAUGUGGAGGAACACCGAUGGCGAAGGCAGCCCCCUGGGGUAACACUGACGCUCAUGCACGAAAGCGUGGGGAGCAAACAGG